rnacentral:rRNA from 1 species
GGGGUUGGCGUUGUUCGGAUUUUGGGCGUAAAGCGCGCGCAGGUGGUUUCUUAAGUCUGAUGUGAAAGCCCACGGCUCAAACGUGGAGGGUCAUUGGAAACUGGGAGACUUGAGUGCAGAAGAGGAAAGUGGAAUUCCAUGUGUAGCGGUGAAAUGCGUAGAGAUAUGGAGGAACACCAGUGGCGAAGGCGACUUUCUGGUCUGUAACUGACACUGAGGCGCGAAAGCGUGGGGAGCAAACAGGAUUAGAUACCCUGGUAGUCCACGCCGUAAACGAUGAGUGCUAAGUGUUAGAGGGUUUCCGCCCUUUAGUGCUGAAGUUAACGCAUUAAGCACUCCGCCUGGGGAGUACGGCCGCAAGGCUGAAACUCAAAGGAAUUGACGGG